GGCAGAAAAGCUUUUAAACCAGGUUGUCACAGUUUAAAUGCUGACAGCUCAGUACAUGACCCGCUUCUCUUUAUGCCCCUUCCACACCUAUCUUGAAUCCCUCCGGCCUCAGUUAGUUCCAGAGAAAGGGUUUGGUGUGUAUGUUCCAGUUCACCAGCCAGUUUAGAUUUCCCGUUGCCAGGACUACUGACUUUCUGAUGUUGGCAGUGAUCCUCACUGUCAUAGGCAGUAGUCUUGCCUGGUAAUUGGUCACACUGGGAGUCGUGCACCCAUCUGGAGGUGGAAAGCACCACAGUGGUAGGUUCGCCAGAAUGCGACUGAAGCAGCAGCUCCCUGGAAGCCCAGGGAGAGCAUACCCCGGAGAGAGAGGAGCAUGAACCAGGUAAGGCAGGGAGCAGACACUAGAAAGUAGUAGCAAAGUAGAUCAUAGUGAAGCUUAUUUUAUUAUUCAGAUGUUCAUUAUCUUUACCAAUGGCUUGUGAUCUACAAAAUUCAGACAUGUGAUCAGACACUUGCCCAGUUGAAGGCUUAUAACAGCCCCAGAGAAUAUUUUUUCUUCCUCAGCCCAGCUAAAGAAAAGCUCUUCAGUGGAGAGGAGCCUGAGGUGAAAGGCAGAGGGGAGAUAGCAAAAGAUUUAUGAGUUCUCAUUAGGUCUAGUUUGGAUCAGCUGACCAAAUUUUGUGAGUAUUAAGAGAGAACCGAGUCCCAAGCAUGGGAUGCCACUGCUAGGCUUUCAGAAUACUCCUGUACGUCCCUCCAGGCCACGGAGCUGGCAGCCCAGGGGGAAUCUCAGAGUCCAGAAAAUCUGUCCCGCAGCCCUGUGUCAACUCCUGAAGUAUUUAGGAUAAACUUUAUAUUUCCAAAUGGAGACAAGUAUGAUGGGGACUGUACAAGAACAUCUUCUGGAGUCAUUGAGAGAAAUGGAAUAGGUAUUCAUACCACUCCGAAUGGGAUUGUCUACACAGGAAGCUGGAAAGAUGACAAGAUGAAUGGUUUUGGAAAACUUGAACAUUUUUCAGGAGCAGUAUAUGAAGGACACUUUAAGGACAAUAUGUUUCAUGGACUGGGAACUUAUACAUUCCCAACUGGAGCAAAGUACACUGGAAAUUUCAAUGAAAACAGGGUGGAAGGCGAAGGACAAUAUACUGAUAUCCAAGGACUAGAAUGGUGCGGUAACUUUCAUUUCACAGCUGCUCCAGGCCUGAGGCUAAAGCGCCAUAUGUAGAUAGCCUGCAUUAAAGUUUUAAUGUGGUAAUUGAAGCUUUUACUUGUAAGGAAAACAACUAAAUCUGUCAUCUGAAAUAACUUCAUACACUAUCUAGUUACUUUUGCCAAUAAAACCAUCAGUCAUUUAAAAAAAAAAA